rnacentral:tRNA from 2 species
AAUAAAAUGGCUGAGUUUAAUAAGCGAUAAAUUGUAAAUUUAUUUACGGGGGAGUCUUCUUUUAUUA